CUCCGUAGGUGAACCUGCGGAGGGAUCAUUAGCGAGUUGAUUAUAAACUCCAAACCCGUGUGAACUUACCUAUCGUUGCCUCGGCAGGUCGUGCUGCACGGUGGGAGCGCCCCGCCGCGGGGGGAGUUACCCUGUGGUAACUUACCCUGUAGUUGGGAGCACCUACCCUGUAGUACGCUACAAGGCCUGCCGGCGGACCCCUAAACUCUUGUUUAUUACUGUAUCUCUGAGUGUUACUGUGGGAAAUUAUUAAAACUUUCAACAACGGAUCUCUUGGUUCUGGCAUCGAUGAAGAACGCAGCGAAAUGCGAUAAGUAAUGUGAAUUGCAGAAUUCAGUGAAUCAUCGAAUCUUUGAACGCACAUUGCGCCUAAUAGUAUUCUGUUAGGCAUGCCUGUUCGAGCGUCAUUUCAACCCCCAAGCCCUAUUUGCUUGACGUUGGGAGAUUACGGAGACGUAACUCCUCAAAUAUAGUGGCGGAGCUAGGUCGUGCUCUAAGCGUAGUAACUAUAACCUCGCUUCUGUGGCCGGCCCUGCGUCUUGCCGUAAAACCCCCUAUAUUAUUCUGGUGACCUCGGAUCAGGUAGAUGCCGUCAGGGGCCG
rnacentral:rRNA from 1 species